AUGCUAUUACUGAAAAUUUAACCAAAUAAAUUAAAUUAUUGUAUGUUAACUAUAAAAUUGUUGUGUGUUUAAAAUGUUAUAUUAAAUAAUUAGUAAUAUCAUGUAAAAUAAAUAAUUAUGUGUGUAAAAAUAAAAUAGUUAUCCGUACGGUUAUGCGGGUCAAAAUCUAGUACUGAUUCGAAGGAGUAUAUCAGUGCUUUAAUUAUGAAUGCAAUGGUUAACCCCAAAAAAUGUUAACAUAAAUGUCAUAUAAAUUAAUCUCUUAUCGAACUAUAUCACAAACCUUAGCCCGGUUGGUAGAGCAGAAUACUAUAGUUGUUGCAGAUAAUUUUGGGUCGCUGGGUCUUUAAUCUUGUAACGAUGGGCCGAUAAUUCAACAUAUAGCCCUGCCUAGAUAUAAAAAUUUUAGUGGUCAAAUUUAGAAAGAAGGGUGUAUAUGCAUGCAUCAAAGAACGCGGUUUUCCACCUAUUAGACCAUCCGCAACGCGGGAUGUAGACAAAUCCUUAGCCCAAAUCCUUAGUGUCAUUUGAUUAUUUUAACAAUAUAAUAGACGAAACAGCUAAGGAUGAAUCCUUGUUCAAGGGUUUUAAGGAUUCAGUCCUUGAGGACGUGGCAUCAUUCUUCAUUUUUUUCAAUAGAUUCUCCUCCCCUUUUUUGUCACUGACGGUGAUCACUCCAGCUACACGUAUCGCGCCGCAGCUUCACUGAUCCUUUAACCACCGAUUGACACUCCCCUCCGCCUCUAAGAAACUCCUCUUCCUCAGAAACCCCACUCCCAGCCCCACGUUCGUCGCCGUCCGGUUCCAGAAACCUUACUCCGAUCGGCUCAACGGAAUCCACGAACCAUGCCUUUUCUGCUUCGUUCAAGCGGCCUCACCUUCAAGCUCCACCCUCUCGUGAUGCUCAACAUCUCCGAUCACUUCACCAGGGUCAAAACUCAGCUCAACCCUCCAUCCGAUCAGCUCAACCAGGGUCAUCGCUUUCUUCCUCUUUAAGGUACUGAUCGAAUCAUCACCAUGGCUAAGAACUCAUUCAAGCUCUCUAAUCCUCUUGGACUAUGUGCCUACUGUGUUUGAUAAUUUUCAGCGCCAAUGUGAUUGUGGAUGGAAACACUAUCAACUUGGGAUUGUGGGAUACUGCAGGCAAGCUACCUUUUCAUUUCAUCAUUCUCUUUCUGAAUAUUUUGCUCUGCAGAGAGAGAGUGAGUCGUUUGUUUAUUUGUUUUGGACUCUGGAUGAAACAUGACAAGAAGACUACAAUAGACUAAGGUCUUUGAGCUAUCGAGGUUCAGAUGUCUUCUUACUUGCCUUCUCACAUUCAGUUUCGGUUAAGUUGAUGGUGUUUAUGUGAAUAAAUGGUUUAAAUUUGCAGCAAGCUUACUUCAAUUUUGUAAUACUUCAAAUACAAGUGCUUUGACAAAAGCAAUUUUGUAUAUAUUAAGGA